GUUUUAUUAUAGUAUGAUACCUCAGUUGGUUAGAGCAUGGUGCUGAUAGCACCAAGGAUACAGGUUUGAUCCCUGUAUGGGACA